UUGGGCUGUUCGCCCAUUAAAGCGGUACGCGAGCUGGGUUCAGAACGUCGUGAGACAGUUCGGUCCCUAUCCGUCGCGGGCGUAGGAAAUUUGAGAGGAGCUGCCCUUAGUACGAGAGGACCGGGGUGGACGUACCUCUGGUGUAUCAGUUGUUCCGCCAGGAGCAUCGCUGAGUAGCUAUGUACGGAUGAGAUAAACGCUGAAAGCAUCUAAGUGUGAAACUCGCCUCGAGAUGAGAUUUCCCAUUCUUUAUGAAGUAAGACCCCUCAGAGAUGAUGAGGUAGAUAGGCUAGAAGUGGAAGUGUGGCGACGCAUGGAGCGGACUAGUACUAAUGGUUCGAGGACUUAACCAAGUU
rnacentral:rRNA from 1 species